ensembl:lncRNA
GGAAGCUACAAUCCUCUGCCCGAACAACAAGGAGCCCCGGCUCUGAAAUGUGGGCCAGCAGGAGGAAAGAUGUGCUCACAGUGUGUGAUGUGCUGGUGUGACAGCAGCUGGGCUGAGGGCACCGCGUUGGUCACAGCACUGGGCCUUAAAUCCUUUCAGUUGGAUUUCCUGACUUUAAAAGCACUUCUCACUCUCCUGCCAGUUCAGUUGCUUAGGAAUUCGGUUGCCUUUGGAACAAGGCAUGGCUCCCCCAGCUGCUCCUGGCAGGACAGAAUGUUGGACCCACAUUUUCAUCUUUGCGUAGUGGAGGGAUUGGUG